GGGCGGUUAGCUCAGCCGGUUCAGAGCGCCUGUCUUACACACAGGAGGUCGGGGGUUCGAAUCCCUCACCGCCCA
rnacentral:tRNA from 1 species